GACCAAGGCUUGAGUCUUCAUUACUCAGAGUAGUACAAGAGCAGCAGCAGUGUUUUCCAAGAGCAUGUGGGGAACGCAGAAUUAGGCUGUCUCAGACUGUGCACGCAGUGUGAGUAGUUUAGAACAUCUGCAGGUGACCCUGGUGUGAGGACGGCUCUGGGUUAAGUCACUUAAGGUCCUGCAUAGCAGCCGAGCCAAGACAGCCUGGUGAUAUCCAGCAGCUCUAAAAUGUAUGCUCUAGGAAAUGAGCACUCUUCUGUGUUAUGAGUGAAAAUAACAGAGGAGACCUCCCACCUUGGAAUGUUUCUCUACUGCCACGUCUGCUUCAGAGUUACACAAACAGCAUGAACUUUCCAACUGUAUAAUAAAAGGGUGUUGUCAUGA